GCUCCCCUAGCUCAACUGGAUAGAGCGGCGGUCUUCGGAACCGCAGGCUGCGGGUUCAAAUCCCUCGGGGAGCA
rnacentral:tRNA from 1 species